GAUGAACGCUAGCGGGAGGCCUAACACAUGCAGGCCGAGCGGUAGAGUCUCUUCGGAGACUUGAGAGCGGCGCACGGGUGCGGAACACGUGUGCAACCUGCCUUUAUCUGGGGGAUAGCCUUUCGAAGGGAAGAUUAAUACCCCAUAAUAUACUGGAUGGCAUCAUCUGGUAUUGAAAACUCCGGUGGAUAGAGAUGGGCACGCGCAAGAUUAGAUAGUUGGUGAGGUAACGGCUCACCAAGUCAGCGAUCUUUAGGGGGCCUGAGAGGGUGAUCCCCCACACUGGUACUGAGACACGGACCAGACUCCUACGGGAGGCAGCAGUGAGGAAUAUUGGACAAGGGGUGAGAGCCUGAUCCAGCCAUCCCGCGUGAAGGACGACGGCCCUAUGGGUUGUAAACUUCUUUUGUAUAGGGAUAAACCUAGAUACGUGUAUCUAGCUGAAGGUACUAUACGAAUAAGCACCGGCUAACUCCGUG
rnacentral:rRNA from 1 species